UCUCGUUGGUACCCCAAAUGUCACUGUUCCCAGGCUCUGUUCACAUGGUAUAGGGGAGCACAGGGCUCUGCCCCAUGAUGUACAGUCCCUUUCCACAAUGUUGGAGAUGAAGCCAAGCCUUGAGUCUACACCUGCAUAUUCCUACAGUUUCUCAGAGUCCUGUGGAUGAUGUCUGAGGAGACAAACCAGUUUUGAUAG
rfam:Pteropus alecto contig51145, whole genome shotgun sequence.